AUUGAACGCUGGCGGCAGGCCUAACACAUGCAAGUCGAACGGUAACAGGAAGCAGCUUGCUGCUUUGCUGACGAGUGGCGGACGGGUGAGUAAUGUCUGGGAAACUGCCCGAUGGAGGGGGAUAACUACUGGAAACGGUAGCUAAUACCGCAUAACGUCGCAAGACCAAAGAGGGGGACCUUAGGGCCUCUUGCCAUCGGAUGUGCCCAGAUGGGAUUAGCUAGUAGGUGGGGUAACGGCUCACCUAGGCGACGAUCCCUAGCUGGUCUGAGAGGAUGACCAGCCACACUGGAACUGAGACACGGUCCAGACUCCUACGGGAGGCAGCAGUGGGGAAUAUUGCGCAAUGGGCGCAAGCCUGAUGCAGCCAUGCCGCGUGUAUGAAGAAGGCCUUCGGGUUGUAAAGUACUUUCAUCGGGGAGGAAGAGAGUAAAGUUAAUACCUUUGCUCAUUGACGUUACCCGCAGAAGAAGCACCGGCUAACUCCGUG
rnacentral:rRNA from 1 species